rnacentral:lncRNA from 1 species
UUUUUUUUUUUUUUUUUUUUUUUGGCCACACCCACACAAGUUCCAGGGCCAGAACCCACACCACAGCAGGACGAUGCCGGAUCCUUAACUCACUGAGCCACCAGAAGCCCACCUUUACCCUGCCUUGCCCACCCUUAAUCUCUCUCAGUUAAACCUAGAAAGGCUCCUCCCUCCCUUCCUGCACUUAGAACUUCCUGCACGUACUGAAUUAAUUUCCAGGGCUGCCUUAACAAAUUACCAUAAACUUAGGGACUUUAAACAUCACAAAUUUACUCUCUCCGUUCUAGAAGCUGGAAGUCUGAAAUUAAGGUGUUUGCAGGGCCAAGCUCCCUCCUAAAUCUCUAGGGGCGAAUCCAGCCUUGCUUCUUCCAGCUUCUGGUAAAUUUAGCCCAGCAUUCCUUAGUUUGUGGUAGCCUCUUUACUCACCGGCUCAGUCUUCAUGUGGCUUCAUGUCACUUCUCCUCACGUAUAAAGACGCAUCACUCUGGACUUAGGGCCCCUCUAAUCCAGGAUGAUCCAACUUGAUUAUAACCUAAUCUGCAAAGAACUUUUUUUCCCCAAAUGAAGCCACAUUCACAGGUUAGGAUUUGAGCACAUUUGGAAGGCUACAGUUCAACCCACUACUCCGACCAUAUCUUAAACUGAGAUAAUAACACCACCUGGAGAGUUACUGGGAUUUGAGAUUAUACAUUUAAACUCUGAUAGUAAAUACUCAAUAAUGAGGUUGAUCAGGACAAUUCAUCUGUUGUUCUAGCAUAUAUUUGUUUUUUUUCUUUUUAGGGCUGCACCCAAGGCCUAUGGAAGUUCCCAGGCUAGGGGUCUUAUCAGAGCUGCAGCUCCUGGCCUACACCACAGACACAGCAACACCAGAUCCAAGCUGUGUCUUUCACCUACACCAUAGCUCGUGGCAAUGCCAGAUCUUUAAGCCACUGAGAGGGGCCAGGAAUGGAACACGAAGCCCGAUGGAUACUAGCCAGGUUCAUUUCCACUGAGCCACAAUAGGAACUUUUUGUUUGUUUUUGCUUUUUAGGGCCGUACCCUCGGCACAUGGAGGUUCCCAGCAGCGACGAACCUGCCUAGCAGCGAGCGGCCCUGCCCGGUGGGUUAAGGACCCUCACCGCUGUGGCUGUGGCGUCGGCCGGCAGCUGCAGCUCGGAUUCAACCCGGAGCCUGGGGACUUCCGUACGCGUGCGCGAGGCCCUAAAAAGCAAAUAAAAACAAAAUAACAUCCGUACUUUAGAAUCGUGUGUGGGAAAUGGCCAAGCCUCGGUCCCCCACUCCCUCCACGCUUUCACCCUGGGAGCGGGAACAGUCUUUACACCCAACAUUAAACCGUCAGAACGAGGUUAACCAUCUGCGUGUUCUUCCGUCAACAAGUCCGUGAGUCAAUUCUCUAAAAGCAGGAAAACACUCACAGAAACGCGCUCCCCGCCUGCGCUCGGCGGGGUGGACAUCACGGGAGGCUCCGGAAGCGCCGUCCUCCGAGGCCGUCGUUAGUAUUCCAGAAGUUUCUACGGGUGAAGGGGAGCAUCUGGCACUUGGAAAACCACAAAGUGGCAUUUCCACCGUGAUAUUAUGUCACUAAACAACGCUUCUAUGCUGCCAGCACUGUUCCCUUUUUCCGUUUUGUAUAUAUGACAGGCUCCCUCAGGGGGCAGCGAACCGCCGAAGCGCUGGCCGUCGCCCUGGGCGGAGACGCCCCGACGCCU